rnacentral:rRNA from 1 species
UACGUAGGGGGCUAGCGUUGUCCGGAAUCAUUGGGCGUAAAGAGCGCGCAGGCGGUCGAUCAAGUCGAAUGUGAAAGCCCCCGGCUCAACUGGGGAGGGUCAUUCGAUACUGUUCGACUCGAAGGCAGGAGAGGGAAGCGGAAUUCCCGGUGUAGUGGUGAAAUGCGUAGAUAUCGGGAGGAACACCAGUAGCGAAGGCGGCUCGCUGGGCCGUUCCUGACGCUGAGACGCGAAAGCUAGGGGGAGCGAACAGG